rnacentral:rRNA from 1 species
CUAACACCGAAUGUGCCCUCCGACCAUAAGGUCGCUGGGGAAAGGAAGCUUCGGCCUCCGCAUCGGGAUGGGCCCGCGGCCCAUUAGCUUGUUGGUGAGGUAACGGCUCACCAAGCAACGAUCGGUAGCUGGUCUGAGAGGACGAUCAGCCACACUGGGACUGAGACACGGCCCAGACUCCUACGGGAGGCAGCAGUGGGGAAUCUUGCGCAAUGCGCGAAAGCGUGACGCAGCAACGCCGCGUGGGGGAAGAAGGCCUUCGGGUUGUAAACCCCUUUCAGUUGGGACGAAGCUCCGCCGGUGAAUAGCCGGCUGGAGUGACGGUACCUUCAGAAGAAGCCCCGGCUAACUACGUGCCAGCAGCCGCGGUAAUACGUAGGGGGCAAGCGUUGUCCGGAAUCAUUGGGCGUAAAGAGCGUGUAGGCGGCUCGGUAAGUCCGCUGUAAAAGUCCAGGGCUCAACCUGGAAAGCCGGUGGAAACUGUCAAGCUAGAGUCCGGAAGAGGCGAGUGGAAUUCCUGGUGUAGCGGUGAAAUGCGCAGAUAUCAGGAGGAACACCAAUGGCGAAGGCAGCUCGCUGGGACGGUACUGACGCUGAGACGCGAAAGCGUGGGGAGCAAACA